GAGUUUGAUCUUGGCUCAGAGCGAACGCUGGCGGCAGGCUUAACACAUGCAAGUCGAACGAGACCUUCGGGUCUAGUGGCGCACGGGUGCGUAACGCGUGGGAAUCUGCCCUUGGGUUCGGAAUAACUCAGAGAAAUUUGAGCUAAUACCGGAUGAUGUCGUAAGACCAAAGAUUUAUCGCCCAGGGAUGAGCCCGCGUAGGAUUAGCUAGUUGGUGAGGUAAAAGCUCACCAAGGCGACGAUCCUUAGCUGGUCUGAGAGGAUGAUCAGCCACACUGGGACUGAGACACGGCCCAGACUCCUACGGGAGGCAGCAGUGGGGAAUAUUGGACAAUGGGCGAAAGCCUGAUCCAGCAAUGCCGCGUGAGUGAUGAAGGCCCUAGGGUUGUAAAGCUCUUUUACCCGGGAUGAUAAUGACAGUACCGGGAGAAUAAGCUCCGGCUAACUCCGUGCCAGCAGCCGCAGUAAU
rnacentral:rRNA from 1 species